rnacentral:rRNA from 1 species
AACGCUACGCGGCUAAUACCUGCAAGUCGAACGGUGUCUUCGGACAUAGUGGCGCACGUGGUGCGUAACACGUAUGCAACGUACCUUACAUUGGGGGAUAGCCUUUCGAAAGGGAGAUUAAUACCGCAUAAGACAGUAGCUGGGCAUCCAGCAGCUGUUAAAGAUUUAUCGAUGUAAGCUGGGCAUGCGUCCAAUUAGCUAGUUGGUGAGGUAAUGGCUCACCAAGGCAAUGAUUGGUAGGGGAACUGAGAGGUCAAUCCCCCACACUGGCACUGAGAUACGGGCCAGACUCCUACGGGAGGCAGCAGUAGGGAAUAUUGGGCAAUGGACGCAAGUCUGACCCAGCCAUGCCGCGUGCAGGAUGAAGGCGUUAUGCGUUGUAAACUGCUUUUAUACAGGAAGAAACGACUCUUGCGAGAGGCAUUGACGGUACUGUAUGAAUAAGCACCGGCUAACUCCGUGCCAGCAGCCGCGGUAAUACGGAGGGUGCAAGCGUUGUCCGGAUUUAUUGGGUUUAAAGGGUGCGCAGGUGGUUUAUUAAGUCAGUGGUGAAAGACGGUCGCUCAACGAUUGCAGUGCCAUUGAAACUGGUAGACUUGAGUAAAGUAGAGGUGGGCGGAAUUGAUAGUGUAGCGGUGAAAUGCAUAGAUAUUAUCAAGAACUCCAAUUGCGUAGGCAGCUCACUUGGCUUUUACUGACACUCAUGCACGAAAGUGUGGGUAUCAAACAGGAUUAGAUACCCUGGUAGUCCA